rnacentral:lncRNA from 1 species
CCGAUUUGGAAGACUCGUUAAGAAAACAGUGUUCUUUAAGCAAACAUUGGCAAUGGAUUUAAAUGCUCAGAUUUUGAAGAAAUCAACGACUGCAGGUGAAAUGGCUUUGCUAACUUUAAAAUAUAUUAUUAUUCAACAUUGAAACAGGAAAUCCCACAUGAGCACAUGAUAAAUACGACCUUAAUUUUCUACGUACUACCCCCAGAAUGCU